GUCAGGAUGGCCGAGUGGUCUAAGGCGCCAGACUCAAGUUUCCGCUUCCCGCUCUGGGGCUUCUGGUCUCCGCAUGGAGGCGUGGGUUCGAAUCCCACUUCUGACA
rnacentral:tRNA from 1 species